GUGAACUAGAGGCCAGAGAACAAACAGGUGAUAAAAGAGCAAGAAAUCCUUGCAAAAGGAUAGGCAGAAUGCAUCUUAGGGGCUGUGAAAAGAAGCUAAAGAAGGUUUGCACGUGUGUCAGGAUGGCUGGCUGGGGCUGUGCUGGAGAGCCAUGAGAGAUGAGGGUGCUGUUGAGGUGCAAUGUUGCCAAAUGGCUCCCGGGCAUAGCUGGUGUUACAGAGAGGGCCGGGACAAAAAGCCCAGCUGUAUUAGUCCA
rnacentral:lncRNA from 1 species